rnacentral:rRNA from 1 species
UACAGAGGUCUCAAGCGUUGUUCGGAUUCAUUGGGCGUAAAGGGUGCGUGGGCGGCGCGGUAAGUCGGGUGUGAAAUCUCGGGGCUUAACUCCGAAACUGCAUUCGAUACUGCCGUGCUUGAGGACUGGAGAGGAGACUGGAAUUUACGGUGUAGCGGUGAAAUGCGUAGAUAUCGUAAGGAAGACCAGUGGCGAAGGCGGGUCUCUGGACAGUUCCUGACGCUGAGGCACGAAGGUCAGGGGAGCAAACGGG